rnacentral:tRNA from 1 species
ACCCCUAUAGUAUAAAACAUUACAAUGGCCUUGUAAGCCAUAAAUGAAAGCUAUUUUCUAAGGGUA